rnacentral:rRNA from 1 species
UACGGCGGAACACGAGAAAUUCCGUCGGAAUCCGCGGGGACCAUCCCGCAAGGCUAAAUACUCCCUAGUGACCGAUAGUGAACCAGUACCGUGAGGGAAAGGUGAAAAGCACCCCGGAAGGGGAGUGAAAUAGAUCCUGAAACCGUGUGCCUACAACAAGUCAAAGCUCGUUAAUGAGUGAUGGCGUGCCUUUUGUAGAAUGAACCGGCGAGUUACGAUUGCAUGCGAGGUUAAGUCGAAGAGACGGAGCCGCAGCGAAAGCGAGUCUGAAUAGGGCGAAUGAGUAUGUAGUCGUAGACCCGAAACCAUGUGAUCUACCCAUGUCCAGGUUGAAGGUGCGGUAAAACGCACUGGAGGACCGAACCCACGUACGUUGAAAAGUGCGGGGAUGAGGUGUGGGUAGCGGAGAAAUUCCAAACGAACUUGGAGAUAGCUGGUUCUCUCCGAAAUAGCUUUAGGGCUAGCCUCGGAAUUGAGAAUGAUGGAGGUAGAGCACUGUUUGGACUAGGGGCCCAUCUCGGGUUACCGAAUUCAGAUAAACUCCGAAUGCCAUUCAUUUAUAUCCGGGAGUCAGACUGCGAGUGAUAAGAUCCGUAGUCGAAAGGGAAACAGCCCAGACCACCAGCUAAGGUCCCAAAAUAUAUGUUAAGUGGAAAAGGAUGUGGGGUUGCACAGACAACUAGGAUGUUGGCUUAGAAGCAGCCACCAUUUAAAGAGUGCGUAAUAGCUCACUAGUCGAGUGACCCUGCGCCGAAAAUGUACCGGGGCUAAACAUAUUACCGAAGCUGUGGACUACACCAUUAGGUGUAGUGGUAGGAGAGCGUUCUAAGGGCGUUGAAGGUCGAUCGUGAGGACGGCUGGAGCGCUUAGAAGUGAGAAUGCCGGUAUGAGUAGCGAAAGACAGGUGAGAAUCCUGUCCACCGUAUGACUAAGGUUUCCUGGGGAAGGCUCGUCCGCCCAGGGUUAGUCGGGACCUAAGCCGAGGCCGAUAGGCGUAGGCGAUGGACAACAGGUUGAUAUUCCUGUACCAGUUGUUUUUGUUUGAGCAAUGGAGGGACG